CCUACGGGAGGCAGCAGUGAGGAAUAUUGGUCAAUGGGCGAGAGCCUGAACCAGCCAAGUCGCGUGAAGGAUGACUGCCCUAUGGGUUGUAAACCUCUUUUGUAUGGGAGGAAAACGCUGUAUGCGUACACUGAUGUCUGUACCAUAUGAAUAAGCAUCGGCUAACUCCGUACCAGCAGCCGCGGUAAUACGGAGGAUGCGAGCGUUAUCCGGAUUUAUUGGGUUUAAGGGGUGCGUAGGGGGUAUUUUAAGUUAGUGGUAAAAUAUUGGGGCUAAACCUCACAACGCAAUUGAUACUGGAGGGCGAGAGGACAGGUGAGGUAGGCGGAAUAAGUUGAGUAGCGGUGAAAUGCAUAGAUAUAACGUAGAACACCGAUAGCGAAGGCAGCUUACCAGACUGAGACUGACGCUGAUGCUCGAGAGCGUGGGUAGCGAACAGGAUUAGAUACCCUUGUAGUC
rnacentral:rRNA from 1 species